rnacentral:rRNA from 1 species
GACGAACGCUGGCGGCGUGCUUAACACAUGCAAGUCGAACGGAAAGGCCCUGCUUUUGUGGGGUGCUCGAGUGGCGAACGGGUGAGUAACACGUGAGUAACCUGCCCUUGACUUUGGGAUAACUUCAGGAAACUGGGGCUAAUACCGGAUAGGAGCUCCUGCUGCAUGGUGGGGGUUGGAAAGUUUCGGCGGUUGGGGAUGGACUCGCGGCUUAUCAGCUUGUUGGUGGGGUAGUGGCUUACCAAGGCUUUGACGGGUAGCCGGCCUGAGAGGGUGACCGGCCACAUUGGGACUGAGAUACGGCCCAGACUCCUACGGGAGGCAGCAGUCGGGAGUAUUGCACAAUGGGCGGAAGCCUGAUGCAGCAACGCCGCGUGCGGGAUGACGGCCUUCGGGUUGUAAACCGCUUUCGCAUGUGACGAAGCGUGAGUGACGGUAAUGGGUAAAGAAGCACCGGCUAACUACGUG